UACGAAGGUGGCAAGCGUUGUUCGGAAUUACUGGGCGUAAAGGGCUCGUAGGCGGCCAACUAAGUCGGAUGUGAAAUCCCCAAGCUUAACUUGGGAACUGCAUCCGAUACUGGAUGGCUUGAAUCCGGGAGAGGGAUGCAGAAUUCCAGGUGUAGCGGUGAAAUGCGUAGAUAUCUGGAGGAAUACCGGUGGCGAAGGCGGCAUCCUGGACCGGCAUUGACGCUGAGGAGCGAAAGCUAGGGGAGCAAACGGG
rnacentral:rRNA from 1 species